rnacentral:lncRNA from 1 species
AUGUCUUCUUUGGAAAAGAAGGACUCAUGUCUUCUGCCCAUUUUUUAAAUGGAUCAUUUGUUUGUUUAUCUCUAUAUCUUCUUUGGAAAAAUGUUUAUUCAGUUUCUCUUUCCUGAGGUGUCUUUUUUUUUUUCUUUGUUGAGUAAUAUGAGUUCCUUAGAUAUUUUGGAUAUUAAGUCUUUAUCAGAUAUGUUGUUUGCAAAUAUUUUCUUCCAUUCUGUAGGUUGCCUUUUCGUGUUGUUGAUUUUUCUUUACUGCACAGAAGCUUCACUUUGAUGAUGUGUCCUACUUGUUUAUUUUUUCUGUUGUUACUUGUGCUUUUGGUGUCAUAUCCAAAAAAAUCUUUGCCAAGGCCAGUGUCAAAGGGCUUUACCACUGUGUUUUCUUCUAGGAGUUUCAUGGUUUCAGGGCUUACAUAUAAGUCUUUAAUCCAUUUAGACUUAGUUUUUAUGAGCUGUGUAUGUUAGGGAUCUAAUUUCAUUCUCUUGCAUGUGGACAUCUAGCUUUUCUAACGUCAUUUAUUAAAGAAACCGUCUUUUCCUCACUAAGUAUUCUUGACUCCCUUAUCAAAUAUUAGUUGACUGUAUAUACAUGGCUUUAUUUCUGGCUUUGAAUUCUGUUCCAUUGGUCUGUGUGUCUGUUUUUAUACCAGCACUACUGUACUGUUUUAAUUACCAUAGAUUCAUGAUAAUAGUUUGGAAUCAGGAAGUUUGAUCUUUCAGGGUUUUUUUGUUGUUGUUGUUCUUUCUCAGGAUUGCUUUGUCUAUUUGGGGUCUUUUGUGGUUCCAUACAAAUUUUAGCAAUCGUUCUUUUUUUCUGGAAAAUGCAAUUGAAAUUUUCAUUGGGAUUACAUUGACUCUAUAGAUGACUUUGAGUACUAUCGACAUCUUAACACUACUAGUAUUUUUUCUGAUCCAUGAACAUUGGUAUUUUAUUAGUUAUAUGUCUUCUUCAGUUUCUUUCAUCAAUGUUUUAUAGUUUUUAGUGUACAAAUAUUUCACCUUCUUGGUUAUAUUUAUCCCUGAGUAUUUUAUUGUUUUAAGCAGUGGUAAAUAGGAUCAUUUUAUUUCUUUUUAAGAAAGUUCAUUGGUAGCAUAUAAUCAGUGCAACUGAUUUUUGUAUGUUGACUUUGUAUCCUGAAACUUGACUAAAUUUAGUAGUUCUAACAGCUUUUUGGUGAAUUUUUAAAGAUUUUCUAUAUAUAUAAGAUCAUGUCAGAGUUUCCAUUGUGGUGCAGCAGAAAUGAAUCUGACUACUAUCCACAAGGAUGUAGGUUCAGUCCCUGGCUUUGCUCAGUGGGUUGUGGAAUCCAGCAUUACCCCACAUCUGUGACCUGCACCACAGCCACAGCAAUGGCAAUGCUGGAUCCUUAACCCACCAAGCAAGGCUGGGGAUCAAACCUGCAUCUUCAUGGAUACUAGUUGGGUUCCUUACCACUGAGCCACAACAGGAGCUCCUGAUAUGAUUUUAGCUAUGGGCUUUUCACAUAUUGCCUUUAUUAUGUUGAGAUGAGUAUACGAAGUGUUGAGAGUCUUUAUUAUGAAGGGCUUUUGAAUUUUUCAAAUGCUUUUUCUGCAUCUAUCAAGAGAGCAUAUGAUUUUUAUGUUUUAUUCUAUUAAUAUGGUGAAUCACAUUAAUUGAUUUGUGGGUGUGUGUGUGUGUAUUCGUAUAUGUUUCUCAGACCUUUUCUAUGGAUACGCCUGCCCCACACUUCUUAUGCCCUCUUCUGGUAGAAUUAUUAAGCUUGUGUGGAAUUCUUAAGCUUCUCUAGAUCUUGCAAAGCUGUGCUGGGUGCUGACACUCUUCUGUUUGCUUACUUUCCCUAGAGCAGUGUUGCAUGAUUAGGUUUGUGUGGUUUCUCCCAAACCUGCAGAGGUGGACCAGUUUUCUUCAACCUCUGCUGCACACUAGCAGCCUACAAAGGUUACUCUUGCUGCAUUAUGGCUGUGCACAGAGAGCUGGCCACAAAGUAGGGAUGUGUGGUGGAGAUGCACAGAGCAUGGGGGGUGCCCUCUCGGAACCAGUUGACAUCCUCAGGUCAGGUAUCCAUGGUGGCUCAGAGAGUAGCUUUCUCAUAGGGUCUGUGAUGUCUUUACUAGGACCUACAUUUCCUUAAUGCCCUCUAAGAGCCUCAGCUGCUAUUAUUCCAGCUAUUUCUUACUCUCCAGUCAUACAGCACACCUCAGUGUUAUGGAUGAGGCAAGAAAGAAGUGGGUCUUUUUGGCAGCAUCCUGCAUAGCUCAAGAAGCCAGUGCCCUGCUAAUAUAUAUCAUUAGGCAUUAUAAGGAAGCAUUUGACAUAAAAAUACCCAAAGAAACCAAUAAAUAGUCACUUAGAGAACACAGAGAAUGUGCAAGAAGAAGAAAAAAUACAAAAAAUAGAAUAAACUAAAAAUUUCUUGAGUUCCCAUCGUGGCUCAGCAGAAAUGAAUCUGACUAGUAUCCAUGAGGACGCAGGUUUGAUCUUUGGCCUCACUUGGUGGGUUAAGUAUCCAGUGUUGCCAUGAGCUGUGGUGUAGUUUGCAGAAGCGGCUUAGAUCUGGCAUGCUAUGGCUGUGGGCGGGUGGCUACAGCUCCAAUUCAACCCCAAGCCUGGGAACUUCCAUAUGCCACAGGUAUGGCCCUAAAAAGAAAAAAAUUCUUGAAAGAUAAGAGAUAAUCAAACAGAAGCAAUAUAUUUAUACAUGCACAUAUGUGUUCUUGUAAGUAGGAACACUGAGGGAAUUAAAAUGAGCUAGGGGAAAUGCUUUUUUUAAAAAAGCAAAAAUUUUAAAAAGUUACUGAAUAAAGGAUUAGAAAAUGAAGUUGAGAAAGCCCCUCAGCAAAUAGACACAAAUACAUAGAAAUUGACAAUAGAACUAUAUGUAUGUAGUCAUUUAUGAUGGAGCAUGAUAAUGUGAGAAAAAGAAUGCAUGUAGGUAUGUUUGACUGGGU